rnacentral:rRNA from 1 species
AACGUAGGUACCGAGCGUUAUCCGGAUUACUGGGCGUAAAGCGCGUUCCGGCGGCCGCGCAAGUCGGGCAUGAAAUCUCUCGGCUCAACCGGGAGGGGUUGUCCGAUACUGCGGGGCUGGAGGGCAGUAGAGGGUGGUGGAAUUCCGGGUGUAGUGGCGAAAUGCGUAGAGAUCCGGAGGAACACCAGUGGCGAAAGCGGCCACCUGGACUGUACCUGACGCUCAAACGCGAAAGCUAGGGGAGCGAACGGG